rnacentral:lncRNA from 1 species
UAAACUCUUAAAUGACAUUUAAAUAAGAACGAAACACAAACCAAUUUAACAGGGCCACAUACAUAGCUUUUUAUCAAAAUAAUUUAUAUUUUAAAACGCAAUUGUGUUUUUCAAGAACAAAUAUUAGUUCCUACAAAACUAACUAUGUUCAAAAGUCUUUGUUGCUAGAAAGAAAAUAUACAAUGGUUGUCGGGUUGACCAGCCACUUUCAGAUGGAUCUUUCAUUUGACCCUAAAAAAGUCAACCCAUAUAAUCAACCAAAAAGUCACACAAAAUGAAAAAUACUUUUCAAAAAGAACUCACUUGAUGAUGUGGUAAAGUUGGUUCUCUGGUAGAUAAAGGUGUCAACUUCUUUUUUGAAGAUGAUUGGAGAGGGGCCAAUGUGAGAUAAUCUUUGGCAAAUAAGUUAAAAGGAGUUCUUUUCUAUGCAAAAUCAUUCAAGGACAUUAGAAAAAAUCGAUUGGUGGUUGAAGAGAUGGAAUUUAAAUCAAAAUUAGGUACUUUUUGUUACCUGAAAACAAAAAAGGUGAUUGGGGAGGGGUCAAAACCAAUAAUGCACCCAUUAGAAGUUGAUUUGUUUGAUCUUGAGAUUGGAGAAAAGGGGAAUUAGCAUAUUUUCUAUUGAAAAAGGGUAUGGUGUCUACAUGUCAACCAUCUGCUCAUACCAAAUAAGAAUAACAAUGUUUAAGAAAAUGUGUUUGUUUCAUGUUUAGUGACCAGUGUUCACACUGUAUUCAUUUGAAGACUAAAUUUGAAAAUAUAGAAUUUAUGAUGACGUGGACCUCCAUUUAUGUGGCCAUAAUGGUGGGUAAUUGUUGCUACAAUAGCUUUAGUUUGAAGGGAGCUCCAUCUGAAAGUUCACAAAGAUGAUGAUGAAUUGAUGAUUAUCGUUGAUUAUAAGGUGUUCCCCUGCAAAUAUGAGGAGAUUUUAGUAAGUACCUUUUAAAUUUAUGGUUUAUCAACGAUAUAGAAUGAAAGAAAUCAAGGGAUUUACACAUACAAACCAUUGAUGAAGAACAUUGUUGUUGAAGUAAUUUUAAUCUUGUUCGGUAGUAGCUUAGAUCGGGCGCCAAAUAGAUAGGUUGGAUUCAUAUUUCAAUCCAGGAUUCUGAUUUGAAUUCGUUCAUGCCAUUUUGCGAUCA